CCUGUUUUCUGAUAUUUCUGACUUCUAGUACUUUCACCCUCCUGCCUAGAUAGUUCCUUGGCUUUUUUGUGUCCAGAUCCUGAAGGGUUUCAGUCUCCCCUCCCCUUCUCUGGAGGUUAAGAUUCCCCCAUCUACAUAGGGCCCUCCAUACAGCUCCAAAUUACAAGGCACAAAGGACCUGAAAGAUUGGGCCAGUCCUCUCAUUAUUCUGAUUAGAAACAGUCCCAGAGGUGGCGUGAUUUGCCCAAAGUCCAGCAACUUCCUGGAACUAGAAACCAAUCUGAAGCCAGCCAUGUUGGUGUUCCUCCCGCGGAUAUCAGGUUACCUCAGAGCCUUAGGGUCUGCUUUUGAAAGGAAAAGAGAGGUCAUGCGGGAGAACCAUGGAAGGAAAAAUGUUUUGGAUUUGGUAACUGCUUAUGGGGGUGGGGUGAAAGGUUGAAGGUGAUUCAGGUGUCACCUGCCCCCCCCAACUCCAAAAAUAAGGUGAGCAAUUUAAAAUUGCUUUAUGAGAUGAUGAAUUUUAAUGACAGCAUCUGGGGCGGGGGUCGCUGGGAAUUUACCUGUUUUGUUUAUGCAGCCAAAUGCCUAAUGUAGGGUAGGCACUUAAUAAAUACUUGCUACACGGAUGACUGCAUGACUGGAUGCACUUCAUUCCAUCAGAGAGAACAGGGGGAUUUGUGGAGCCAAGCCCCACCUGGGAGGCAUGUAAGUCUUUUGGAGGCAUGUAAGUCUUUUCCAAUUUUUCUCAAUUAUGGCUCUGCAAUGAAUAUCCUUUGUUCAUAAAUCCUUGACUGCAUCUCUUGAUUAUUUCCUUAGGAUAUUUUCCUAGAAGUGGGAUUACUGGGUUGAAGGGUAUGCACGUAUUUAAGGCUCUGAAUUCAGAGCACUUUCAGCAGUGCAAAAAUGAGUCAGCAUCCCAGAAAACCUAGCCAAACUGGGUAUUAACAGGCUUUAUUUAUUUAGUUAGUUUUUU
rnacentral:lncRNA from 1 species